UGGGAGAUCGUCUAAUGGUAGGACAGCGGCCUUUGGAGCCGUAUAUCCAGGUUCGAAUCCUGGUCUCCCAGC
rnacentral:tRNA from 1 species